rnacentral:rRNA from 1 species
GACGAACGCUGGCGGCGCGCUUAACACAUGCAAGUCGAACGGAAAGGCCUGCUUUCCCUUGUGGAUUGCGGGUACUCGAGUGGCGAACGGGUGAGUAACACGUGAGUGAUCUGCCCCCAACUUGGGUAUAAGCCUGGGAAACUGGGUCUAAUUCCCGAUAGGACUGCAGGGUGGUGCCUGUGGUGGAAAACGAUUUUCUAGUGGUUGGGGAUGAGCUCGCGGCCUAUCAGCUUGUUGGUGGGGUAAUGGCCUACCAAGGCGGCGACGGGUAGCCGGCCUGGGAGGGUGGACGGCCACAUUGGGACGGAGAUACGGCCCAGACGCCUACGGGAGGCAGCAGUGGGGAAUAUGGCACAAUGGGCGGAAGCCUGAUGCAGCGACGCCGCGUGGGGGAUGACGGCCUUCGGGUGGUAAACUCCUUUCGACCGCGAGGAAGCCACCUGGUUGGAAGGGUGGUGACGGUAGUGGUAGAAGAAGCACCGGCUAACUACGUG